CGUCCGGCCAUGGAUUUCUCCACGUCCACGGACGUGUUGGCGGCGGUCCUGCAACGGCUCCCACCUUGCGCCCGGCGCCGUGCCCGCCGUGCCCGCCUCGUCUGCAAGCUCUGGCGCGAGACCGUCGACGAACGCACGACGGAGAUGCACAGCCGCGCCAAGGUCCUCCUCUGGAACACCCGCACCGCCGUCGCCUACGUCGUCGUCGAUGACACCUCGUCGUCGCCCACGGGGAGCUACAGGGAGCUGUGGAGCGGCGGUAGGCCCCCCAUGUAUUCCCAAUGGGAUGCCGAGCUGCAGCUGGUCGGCACAUGCAACGGCCUGCUCUGCGUCAGCGACAACGGCGGGAGCACCGACGGCGAGGUCGCCCUGGUCAACCCGGUGACCAGCGAGGCGCUGCCCCUCCCGCCGCUGCCGUGCGGCGACCAGCUCGCCGGCGACCGACGCUCCUGCAGGUGGGACAAGGCGUACAGCUUCGCCUACCACCCGACGUCCGGGCGGUACAAGGUGGUGCACGUCCCCUGCACCUUCGAGAGGGCCUACGACUUCGACGCCGUGCAGGUGCUCACGGUGGAAAAAGAGGCGACGUGGAAGGGCGGCGCGGCGAGGGUGGUGUCUUUAAGCCUCGACGACGACGAGCGCGUCGCCGGCUUCGCCUUGCCGUCGCCUGCUCUUUCCGCCGGCUCCGAUAACUACCACCUGGCGGAGGUGCGCGGGCGGCUGGCCGUCGUCGUCCACGAUCCCUUCGCGAGCACGACCGGGGUGUGGGUACGAGGGGAGAAGGGGAGGUGGACUCGCCGGUGCGGCCUCUGGUCGCAAGACCCCACGCGGCCGCACUUCGUGCACGGCGAGCACGUCACCACGUUUCAAGGGUCGUCGUUGCGCGGCCACCGGCGGAAAGGCACGCGGCUGUUGUCGUCCCCAUGCGACGUGACGGUCAGCGACAAGGACCAGGGGACGCUGCUCGCCAAGGUCAAGGGCGGGGCUCGCCACUACCGGACGUUCGCCUACGUCGAGACGACGGAGCCAUUGGGUGCUUAU
rnacentral:rRNA from 1 species